rnacentral:lncRNA from 1 species
GGGAAGAGCUCUUCAUCAAGAGGACAGUUGUUGUGACAACUGAGAAACAGCAAUAAUAAAAACUGGAAUCUGCCAUUUGAGUUCUUCACCUAUCCCCUCAUCACUGCUAUAGCCAAACAGAAGUGAGAAGACGGAAGAAAAGAAUUCUUACAGAGACAAGACGUAAGAGGAAAGAAGAGAAGAGACGGAGUUUCACCGUGUUAGCCAGGAUGGUCUCGGUCUCUUGACCUCGUGAUCCACCCGCCUCGGCCUCCCAAAGUGCUGGGAUUACAGGCGUGAGCCACCGCGCCUGACCUUGAUGAGUUCCCGUUUCCCGUCUAGGACGUCCUAAUUUUGAACAGAACAAACAGCACUUGCAACACCCAACCCAUCAGGAAAUCCCGUUGUCUCUGCCUUUGGAAGAUCCAGAACCUCAUGGAUUGUUACCAUUUCCCAGCUACUCACCAUUGCAGCUGGAAACACCGUCCUCUGUCACUGGAUUCCCACGCGCACCCGCCAGCUCCCCUGCUCCAGAGCCUGGCUCCUUCCGCAGCAGCGAGAGGGUCCCCACGCAAGCCAGCCUCAGGUGCUCACUUCAGCAGCACAUCUGCUAAAACUGGAACAUACAGAGAAGAGGAACCUGGCCCCUGUGUAAACAUGACAUGGAAAUUCAUGGGACAUUCCAUAUUUUUAUGAAUAUACUAAAAGCCGCUGAAUUGUAGGCAUUGAAAAUAAUACAUUUUAUGGCAUGUGAAUUAUAUCUCAAUUCAGCUACUGUAAACUAAAUAAACAAAAGUAAACCAUGCCCAUCCUCCGCUCAAAGCCCUGCAAUGGUUAUUUCAUUCAAAGUAAAGUCUAUGUUCUUAAAAAAGCCAAAAA